GGACGAACCAUUGGAGAGAUUCAUUAAAUUGAACACCGAAGGAGCAAACCCAAAAGGGUGAAACUCUCAGGUAAAAGGACAGUGGCUAAAUA
rfam:Coprobacillus sp. CAG:235 genomic scaffold, scf59